UACGGAGGGGGCUAGCGUUAUUCGGAAUUAUUGGGCGUAAAGGGCGCGUAGGCGGCCCGGUAAGUCAAAGGUGAAAUCCCUCGGCUCAACUGAGGAACUGCCUUUGAAACUGUCGGGCUUGAGGCCGGGAGGGGGUAGCGGAAUUCCCAGUGUAGCGGUGAAAUGCGUAGAUAUCGGGAGGAACAUCAGUGGCGAAGGCGGCUGCCUGGCCCAAUACUGACACUCAGGUGCGACAGCGUGGGGAGCAAACAGG
rnacentral:rRNA from 1 species